rnacentral:rRNA from 1 species
CAGGUUGAAGGUGCGGUAAAACGCACUGGAGGACCGAACCAGGGCACGUUGAAAAGUGCUUGGAUGAGGUGUGGGUAGCGGAGAAAUUCCAAUCGAACUUGGAGAUAGCUGGUUCUCUCCGAAAUAGCUUUAGGGCUAGCCUCGGAAUCAAGAAUCGUGGAGGUAGAGCACUGUUUGGACUAGGGGCCCAUCUCGGGUUACCGAAUUCAGAUAAACUCCGAAUGCCAUGUAUUUAUAUCCGGGAGUCAGACUGCGAGUGAUAAGAUCCGUAGUCGAAAGGGAAACAGCCCAGACCACCAGCUAAGGUCCCAAAAUAAUUGUUAAGUGGAAAAGGAUGUGGGGUUGCACAGACAACUAGGAUGUUAGCUUAGAAGCAGCUAUUCAUUCAAAGAGUGCGUAAUAGCUCACUAGUCGAGUGACCCUGCGCCGAAAAUGUAACGGGGCUAAACAGAUUACCGAAGCUGUGGAUUGGACCUUAUGGUCCAGUGGUAGGAGAGCGUUCUAAGGGCGGUGAAGCAUGAUCGUAAGGACAUGUGGAGCGCUUAGAAGUGAGAAUGCCGGUAUGAGUAGCGAAAGACGGGUGAGAAUCCCGUCCACCGAAUAACUAAGGUUUCCUGGGGAAGGCUCGUCCUCCCAGGGUUAGUCGGGACCUAAGGCGAGGCCGAUAGGCGUAGUCGAUGGACAACAGGUUGAUAUUCCUGUACUUCUAUAAAUCGUUUGAGCAAUGGAGGGACGCAGGAGGCUAAGAAAAGCGUACGACUGGAAGUGUACGCCCAAGCAGUGAGUCGGCUGAUGAGUCAAAUGCUUAUCACGGAUGCGACAAGCUGUGACGGGGAGGGAAGUUUAGUACCGAAGUUUCUGAUGUCACACUGCCGAGAAAAGCUUCUAGCAAGAUUUAUAGGACCCGUACCGCAAACCGACACAGGUAGUUGAGGAGAGAAUCCUAAGGUGAGCGAGCGAACUCUCGUUAAGGAACUCGGCAAAAUGACCCCGUAACUUCGGGAGAAGGGGUGCUGGUAGCAAUACCAGCCGCAGUGAAUAGGCCCAGGCGACUGUUUAUCAAAAACACAGGUCUCUGCAAAAUCGAAAGAUGACGUAUAGGGGCUGACGCCUGCCCGGUGCUGGAAGGUUAAGAGGAGAGGUUAGCGCAAGCGAAGCUUUGAAUUGAAGCCCCAGUAAACGGCGGCCGUAACUAUAACGGUCCUAAGGUAGCGAAAUUCCUUGUCGGGUAAGUUCCGACCCGCACGAAAGGCGUAAUGAUUUGGGCACUGUCUCAACGAGAGACUCGGUGAAAUUUUAGUACCUGUGAAGAUGCAGGUUACCCGCGACAGGACGGAAAGACCCCAUGGAGCUUUACUGUAGUUUGAUAUUGAGUGUUUGUGUCACAUGUACAGGAUAGGUAGGAGCUGAAGAAUCCGGGACGCCAGUUUCGGAGGAGGCAACGGUGGGAUACUACCCUUGUGACAUGACCACUCUAACCCGCACCCCUAACCGGGGUGGGAGACAGUGUCAGACGGGCAGUUUGACUGGGGCGGUCGCCUCCUAAAAUGUAACGGAGGCGCCCAAAGGUUCCCUCAGAAUGGUUGGAAAUCAUUCGUAGAGUGUAAAGGCAGAAGGGAGCUUGACUGCGAGACCAACAAGUCGAGCAGGGACGAAAGUCGGGCUUAGUGAUCCGGUGGU